rnacentral:snoRNA from 1 species
AUGACGACGCUUACAAGGUCGGAAAAGUGAAGAGGGCUGAGCGGCUGA